GCAGUCGAAGAACAUCUUAUUCUGAUUUCUUCGGAAUGAAAAAUUUGGUGACUGAGUGGCGGACGGGUGAGUAACGCGUGGGUAACCUGCCUCAUACAGGGGGAUAACAGUUAGAAAUGACUGCUAAUACCGCAUAAGACCACAGCACCGCAUGGUGCAGGGGUAAAAACUCCGGUGGUAUGAGAUGGACCCGCGUCUGAUUAGGUAGUUGGUGGGGUAACGGCCUACCAAGCCGACGGUCAGUAGCCGACCUGAGAGGGUGACCGGCCACAUUGGGACUGAGACACGGCCCAAACUCCUACGGGAGGCAGCAGUGGGGAAUAUUGCACAAUGGGGGAAACCCUGAUGCAGCGACGCCGCGUGAGCGAUGAAGUAUUUCGGUAUGUAAAGCUCUAUCAGCAGGGAAGAAAAUGACGGUACCUGACUAAGAAGCACCGGCUAAAUACGUGCCAGCAGCCGCGGUAAUACGUAUGGUGCAAGCGUUAUCCGGAUUUACUGGGUGUAAAGGGAGCGUAGACGGAGUGGUAAGUCUGAUGUGAAAACCCGGGGCUCAACCCCGGGACUGCAUUGGAAACUGUCAAUCUGGAGUACCGGAGAGGUAAGCGGAAUUCCUAGUGUAGCGGUGAAAUGCGUAGAUAUUAGGAGGAACACCAGUGGCAAAGGCGGCUUACUGGACGGUAACUGACGUUGAGGCUCGAAAGCGUGNGGAGCAAACAGNAUUAGAUACCCUGGUAGUCCACGCCGUAAACGAUGACUACUAGGUGUCGGGCAGCAAAGCUGUUCGGUGCCGCAGCAAACGCAAUAAGUAG
rnacentral:rRNA from 1 species